rnacentral:rRNA from 1 species
AUAUACGACCGUACCGCAAACCGACACUGGUGCGCGAGAUGAGUAUUCUAAGGCGCUUGAGAGAACUCAGGAGAAGGAACUCGGCAAAUUGACACCGUAACUUCGGAAGAAGGUGUGCCCUAUUAGUGUGUAGUGAACAACGAAGCAUGAAUGGGUUGCAAAAAAUCGGUGGCUGCGACUGUUUAUUAAAAACACAGCACUCUGCAAACACGAAAGUGGACGUAUAGGGUGUGACGCCUGCCCGGUGCUGGAAGAUUAAAUGAUGGGGUGCAAGCUCUUGAUUGAAGUCCCAGUAAACGGCGGCCGUAACUAUAACGGUCCUAAGGUAGCGAAAUUCCUUGUCGGGUAAGUUCCGACCUGCACGAAUGGCGUAACGAUGGCCACACUGUCUCCUCCUGAGACUCAGCGAAGUUGAAAUGUUUGUGAUGAUGCAAUCUCCCCGCGGAAAGACGGAAAGACCCCAUGAACCUUUACUGUAGCUUUGUAUUGGACUUUGAACAGAUCUGUGUAGGAUAGGUGGGAGGCUUUGAAGCAGGGUCGCUAGAUCUUGUGGAGCCAACGUUGAAAUACCACCCUGGUGUGUUUGAGGUUCUAACCUAGGUCCAUUAUCUGGAUCGGGGACAGUGCAUGGUAGGCAGUUUGACUGGGGCGGUCUCCUCCCAAAGCGUAACGGAGGAGUUCGAAGGUACGCUAGUUACGGUCGGACAUCGUGACGAUAGUGCAAUGGCAUAAGCGUGCUUAACUGCGAGACUGACAAGUCGAGCAGAUGCGAAAGCAGGACAUAGUGAUCCGGUGGUUCUGUAUGGAAGGGCCAUCGCUCAACGGAUAAAAGGUACUCUGGGGAUAACAGGCUGAUACCGCCCAAGAGUUCAUAUCGACGGCGGUGUUUGGCACCUCGAUGUCGGCUCAUCUCAUCCUGGGGCUGUAGCCGGUCCCAAGGGUAUGGCUUUUCGCCAUUUAAAGAGGUACGUGAGCUGGGUUUAAAACGUCGUGAGACAGUUUGGUCCCUAUCUUCCGUGGGCGCUGCAGAUUUGAGGAAGCCUGCUCCUAGUACGAGAGGACCGGAGUGGACACACCUCUGGUGUAUCGGUUGUCACGCCAGUGGCAUUGCCGAGUAGCUAAGUGUGGUAGAGAUAACCGCUGAAAGCAUCUAAGCGGGAAACUCGUUUCAAGAUGAGAUCUGCCGGGGCCUUGAGCCCCCUAAAGAGUCGUUCAAGACCAGGACGUUGAUAGGUCAGGUGUGGAAGCCAA